CGGACGGGUGAGUAACACGUGGGUAACCUGCCUGUAAGAUUGGGAUAACUCCGGGAAACCGGAGCUAAUACCGGAUAACAUUUCGAACCGCAUGGUUCGAAAUUGAAAGAUGGUUUCGGCUAUCACUUACAGAUGGACCCGCGGCGCAUUAGCUAGUUGGUGAGGUAACGGCUCACCAAGGCAACGAUGCGUAGCCGACCUGAGAGGGUGAUCGGCCACACUGGGACUGAGACACGGGCCAGACUCCUACGGGAGGCAGCAGUAGGGAAUCUUCCGCAAUGGACGAAAGUCUGACGGAGCAACGCCGCGUGAACGAUGAAGGCCUUCGGGUCGUAAAGUUCUGUUGUUAGGGAAGAACAAGUACCAGAGUAACUGCUGGUACCUUGACGGUACCUAACCAGAAAGCCACGGGUAACUACGUGCCAGCAGCCGCGGUAAUACGUAGGUGGCAAGCGUUGUCCGGAAUUAUUGGGCGUAAAGCGCGCGCAGGCGGUUUCUUAAGUCUGAUGUGAAAGCCCACGGCUCAACCGUGGAGGGUCAUUGGAAACUGGGGAACUUGAGUGCAGAAGAGGAGAGUGGAAUUCCACGUGUAGCGGUGAAAUGCGUAGAGAUGUGGAGGAACACCAGUGGCGAAGGCGACUCUCUGGUCUGUAACUGACGCUGAGGCGCGAAAGCGUGGGGAGCGAACAGGAUUAGAUACCCUGGUAGUCCACGCCGUAAACGAUGAGUGCUAAGUGUUAGAGGGUUUCCGCCCUUUAGUGCUGCAGCAAACGCAUUAAGCACUCCGCCUGGGGAGUACGGUCGCAAGACUGAAACUCAAAGGAAUUGACGGGGGCCCGCACAAGCGGUGGAGCAUGUGGUUUAAUUCGAAGCAACGCGAAGAACCUUACCAGGUCUUGACAUCCUUCGCUA
rnacentral:rRNA from 1 species